rnacentral:rRNA from 1 species
UACGUAGGGUGCGAGCGUUGUUCGGAAUUACUGGGCGUAAAGCGUGCGUAGGUGGUUCGUUGUGUCUGUGGUGAAAGCCCCGGGCUUAACCUGGGAAUGGCCAUGGAAACUGGCGAGCUGGAGUGUGGCAGAGGGGGGUGGAAUUCCGCGUGUAGCAGUGAAAUGCGUAGAGAUGCGGAGGAACACCGAUGGCGAAGGCAGCCCCCUGGGCUAACACUGACGCUGAGGCACGAAAGCGUGGGGAGCAAACAGG